GACGAACGCUGGCGGCGUGCUUAACACAUGCAAGUCGAACGGAAAGGCCCUGCUUUUGUGGGGUGCUCGAGUGGCGAACGGGUGAGUAACACGUGAGUAACCUGCCCUUGACUUUGGGAUAACUUCAGGAAACGGGGGCUAAUACCGGAUAGGAGCUCCUGCUGCAUGGGGGGGGUUGGAAAGUUUCGGCGGUUGGGGAUGGACUCGCGGCUUAUCAGCUUGUUGGUGGGGGAGUGGCUUACCAAGGCUUUGACGGGUAGCCGGCCUGAGAGGGUGACCGGCCACAUUGGGACUGAGAUACGGCCCAGACUCCUACGGGAGGCAGCAGUGGGGAAUAUUGCACAAUGGGCGGAAGCCUGAUGCAGCAACGCCGCGUGCGGGAUGACGGCCUUCGGGUUGUAAACCGCUUUCGCCUGUGACGAAGCGUGAGUGACGGUAAUGGGUAAAGAAGCACCGGCUAACUACGUG
rnacentral:rRNA from 1 species